GGAUCCAGACUUUGAUUCUGGCUCAGGAUGAACGCUAGCUACAGGCUUAACACAUGCAAGUCGAGGGGCAGCGGGAUUGAAGCUUGCUUCAAUUGCCGGCGACCGGCGCACGGGUGAGUAACGCGUAUCCAACCUUCCGUACACUCAGGGAUAGCCUUUCGAAAGAAAGAUUAAUACCUGAUAGUAUCUUAAGCACACAUGUAAUUAAGAUUAAAGAUUUAUCGGUGUACGAUGGGGAUGCGUUCCAUUAGGUAGUAGGCGGGGUAACGGCCCACCUAGCCAACGAUGGAUAGGGGUUCUGAGAGGAAGGUCCCCCACAUUGGAACUGAGACACGGUCCAAACUCCUACGGGAGGCAGCAGUGAGGAAUAUUGGUCAAUGGACGAGAGUCUGAACCAGCCAAGUAGCGUGAAGGAUGAAGGUCCUACGGAUUGUAAACUUCUUUUAUAAGGGAAUAAACCCUCCCACGUGUGGGAGCUUGUAUGUACCUUAUGAAUAAGCAUCGGCUAACUCCGUGCCAGCAGCCGCGGUAAUACGGAGGAUGCGAGCGUUAUCCGGAUUUAUUGGGUUUAAAGGGAGCGCAGACGGGUCGUUAAGUCAGCUGUGAAAGUUUGGGGCUCAACCUUAAAAUUGCAGUUGAUACUGGCGUCCUUGAGUGCGGUUGAGGUGUGCGGAAUUCGUGGUGUAGCGGUGAAAUGCUUAGAUAUCACGAAGAACUCCGAUUGCGAAGGCAGCACACUAAUCCGUAACUGACGUUCAUGCUCGAGAGUGUGGGUAUCAAACAGGAUUAGAUACCCUGGUAGUCCACACGGUAAACGAUGGAUACUCGCUGUUGGCGAUAUACUGUCAGCGGCUUAGCGAAAGCGUUAAGUAUCCCACCUGGGGAGUACGCCGGCAACGGUGCAACUCAAAGGAAUUGACGG
rnacentral:rRNA from 1 species